rnacentral:rRNA from 1 species
GAUGAACGCUGGCGGCGUGCUUAACACAUGCAAGUUGAACGAAGUGGCGGAUGGGCGAGUAACACGUGUGGAAGCGGCCUUUCACAGGGGAAUAACACUGGGAAACCAGUGCUAAUACUGAAUAGUGAAAGAUGGCCUUGCGCUUGAUUAACUAGUAGGUGAGGUAACGGCUCACCUAGGUGAUGAUCAGUGGCGUGACUGAAGUUUGAUCGGCGGCAUUGGGACGGAGACACGGCCCAGACGCCUACGGGAGGCAGGAGUGGGGAAUAUUGGGCAAUGGCGCAAGCCUGACCCGGCAACGAAGCGUGAAGGAAGACGGUCUUCGGAUUGUAAACUACUUUUGACAGUGACGCGGUACCUGUAGAAUAAGCCCCGGCUAACUACGUGCCAGCAGCCGCGGUAAUUC